AUGGACAUGGGUAGCCAUCUCCUCCUCACCGUUGUUGUUAGCCUCCAUGCAUUUAUGCACACUGCCAGCAGCGACGAAUUCAUCUUCAACGGCUUCUCCGAGGAAAAUCUAAAGCUGAGUGGUCAAGCUUCUAUGGUAGGCCGUGCUAUAAGGCUCAUCGGUGGCGUCACCCUGACAGAAGGGGAUGCUUUCUACAGCAGGCCCCUCGAUUUCAGUAGUAACUCCGGUGGUGGUGGAGCCUCCUUCUCAACAACUUUCGUGUUCGCCAUCAACUCUGACACCACCGAAGCUCCUGGCAUAGCCUUCGUGCUCUCUUCCACCAUGGAGCUGCAACAUCUGCACAACAACUCAUUGGUUCAGGGCCAGCUGGGUUUCGCUGAUGUAGGAGAUACAUCGCUCACCGGCACUUGGUCAAGUGGCACGUGA
rnacentral:rRNA from 1 species